GCCCCAAAAUUCCUUUUUUCCUCCCUAAAAUUCCUAUUUUUUCUGCCCAAAAUUUCCAUUUUUACGGCCAAAAAAAUCCCAUUUUCUACCCAAAAAUCCCCCAAAAAAAUCCCAUUUUCCGCCCAAAAAAAUCCCAUUUUUCCCCAAAAUCCCUGGAUUUUUUGCCCAAAAUUUGGAUUUUUUCCCCAUUUUGGCACCGUCUCGAUCAGUUUGCGGUUGUCGAUCAGCUGCCGCUUGUCCUUGAUCUCGUUGGACGCCACCCAUGUCUUGAUCUGGUCCCGAAGCCUCUGAGGGGCAAAAAUGGAUCCAAAUUAACAAAAACCUCAAAAAAUGAACCAAAAUAUCCUAAAAUAGAGAAAAAUGUUAAAAAUCCCCAUAAAAAUAUCCCAAAAAAACCAAAAAUGGCCCAAAAUAACCCAAAAAUGGCUCAAAUGUCGUUGGAUCCCACCCAUGGCUUGGUCUGGUCCCGAAGCCUCUGAGGGGAAAAAAUGGAUCCAAAAUUAACAAAAACAUCAAAAAAU
rnacentral:lncRNA from 1 species